rnacentral:lncRNA from 1 species
GGAAGGAGGGAGGGAGGGAGGAAGGAGGCAGGAAGCGGGGAAGGGAGGGAGAGAGCUGACCCCGUGCCGGGCACUGUCCAAGGUGUUGGGGUCAGAAGCGUGAACAAAGCCGCUACAAUUGCUGCCUUCACGCGGCUGACUGCGUGGGGCCAGAGCUCACAGUCUAAAUGCAGAGUGGAAGGGAAUGGAGAGCAGUGGAGUGACCUGGGGUGGGUGCAGUUGGGUGGUGUGGAGCGGGCCGAAGCACCUGCAUGCCCGCUAGCCAGCGGCUUCACGCUUGGACCGUGCGCCCUCCUCCCUCAGCGGCUGAGUGGCCCGAGGUCCGCAGCCCCCAGCCACAACCACACCCGGCCAGCACAACGCCAGCAGCAGCGAGGCCCCGGAGCCAGGUGAGCGGCCCUCCCUCAGGCCUCUGGGCCGCAAGGCAAGGGGCAGAGAGGCGGGUGAGGGCACCCAGGCUCCUCUCCUCCUGGCCUGGGGUACAAGUUCCCGUUAGAUCCCCCGAGAACCCAGCGGGGAGGGAUGCAGGGCGCCCACUGGGCCAGGACACAAUGGCUACAAGGGGGUCCCCGAGACAGAGCGAGUCAGGCCUCUCUCACCCUGGCUGGACACACCCUGACCUCCAGUCACCCUUGCGUGCUUUCUCCUGACUGACCAAUAGCAGCCCCUCUCUCCUAGCCCCAUUUUGCAGACUGGAAGGCUGAGGCCCAGGUGUGGGAAAGGGGUGGCCAUCAGCCGACCCUCUCCCUCCAGGUCUCGGGGUGCGCCUGGCCAACCGGAGCAGCCACUGCCACGGGGAGGUGGAGGCCAGGCUCGGGGCCCGCUGGGCGCCUGCGUGCGCGGCGCAGUGGGACCACCAGGC